ACGAACGCUGGCGGCGUGCUUCACACAUGCAAGUCGAACGGAAAGGCCCUGCUUUUGUGGGGUGCUCGAGUGGCGAACGGGUGAGUAACACGUGAGUAACCUGCCCUUGACUUUGGGAUAACUUCAGGAAACUGGGGCUAAUACCGGAUAGGAGCUCCUGCUGCAUGGUGGGGGUUGGAAAGUUUCGGCGGUUGGGGAUGGACUCGCGGCUUAUCAGCUUGUUGGUGGGGUAGUGGCUUACCAAGGCUUUGACGGGUAGCCGGCCUGAGAGGGUGACCGGCCACAUUGGGACUGAGAUACGGCCCAGACUCCUACGGGAGGCAGCAGUGGGGAAUAUUGCACAAUGGGCGGAAGCCUGAUGCAGCAACGCCGCGUGCGGGAUGACGGCCUUCGGGUUGUAAACCGCUUUCGCCUGUGACGAAGCGUGAGUGACGGUAAUGGGUAAAGAAGCACCGGCGAACUACGU
rnacentral:rRNA from 1 species